CCGCUCGACGAUAACGAACUCGUCUCGUACAUCCUCACCGGCAUUGACUCUGACGACUACAACCCCGUCAUCACCUCUCUAAUUACUAGAGUGGAACCGGUGAAAGUAGGCGAGGUGUUCUCGCAGCUGCUCAGCUUCGAGC